UUAUCCCCAAGACCUCGUAACUUGUGUAGAAUCUGGUCGAGACUGGUCACUGGGUUGUGGAAGGGAGGGAGCAAGGUGGGGAGGAAGAGAGGAAUAAGAGAUUGAAAAUCAGGAAUUUGGCCCUCUGUUACAAAGAGUGUGUUCUGAAGCAUCAGAAAGAAAGAUUUGGUUGGAACAAAGUGUCCUGUUUUUCUGCAAUGAAAGAUAAGAUUAUUUUGAUUCUGGAAGGUGCAAAACAAGAUUUUGUUAAGAAAGCAGUCGUGACAGUCAACUUAGCCUGAGGGGUUUGAACCAUAAGCAGUGAAUUAUAAAUUGAGAUUAUCUUUCUCAUUUCAUAUCCUCUCUCUUUUUAGAAAACAACAACAACAAAAAAACAAACCUGAAUACCUAUUUGUUUGUUUAUUUACCUGUCUUCCUGGAGGAGAGGCAUGCCAGUAGGGUGUUACCAUUGUCCAGGCACUGUGCCCAGCGCUGUGACGGAGGGAAAACAAACGAAGCGUGUCAUCUAUGUCCCCGUGGAACCAAGGGCUGUAAAAGAACAGCAACCCCAACUGUAUCUUCAUGAUGCAUCUGAGGAGAACGGGCCGUCUCAGUCUCUGAUGUCAGGCAGGAAACGGCUCAGAGCCCAACCCACCAUCGGAGUUGCUGUGAACUACUAG
rnacentral:lncRNA from 1 species